ACGGCGAGUGAACAGGGAAAAGCCCAAAUUUGUAAUCUGGCACUUUUUACAAGUGUCCGAGUUGUAAUUUGUAGAGCUGUUAUCCGUACUGGACCAUGUACAAGUCUGUUGAAAAGCAGCAUCAUUGAAGGUGAAAAUCCUGUAGAUGAUAUGGACUACCAGUAUAUUUGUGAUACGGUUUCUAAGAGUCGAGUUGUUUGGGAAUGCAGCUCAAAGUGGGUGGUAAAUUCCAUCUAAGGCUAAAUAUAAGUGAGAGACCGAUAGCAAACAAGUACCGUGAGGGAAAGAUGAAAAGAACUUUGAAAAUAGAGUUAACAGUACGUGAAAUUGCUGAAAGGGAAACGUUUGAAGUUAGUUUUGUAUUCGUUGGAUCAGCUUCGCAAGGAGUGUAUUCUGAUGAUAAGCAAGUCAACAUCAGUCUAUGAGUGUUGGAUAAGGGUUUUGAGAAUGUAGCAAUUUAAUUGUGUUAUAGCUUGAGACUUGGAUACAAUGCUUUGGAUUGAGGAACGCGUAGUAAGCUUUGAGCGGAUUCGAAAGGAUCUCCUUACUAUGGAUGUUGGUGAAAUAACUUUAAGCGACCCGUCUU
rnacentral:rRNA from 3 species